rnacentral:rRNA from 1 species
AGAGUUUGAUCCUGGCUCAGGACGAACGCUGGCGGCGUGCCUAAUGCAUGCAAGUCGAACGCAGCGACGCAUGUCGGCUGCGUGGCGAACGGCUGAGGAACACGUGGGUCACCACCCCCGGAGUGGGGGAUACCCCGUCGAAAGACGGGACAAUCCCGCAUACGCUCGACGGAGGAAAGCCAAUCGGCGCUCCGGGACGGGCCUGCGGCCCAUCAGGUAGUUGGUGUGGUAACGGCGCACCAAGCCACUGACGGGUACCCGGUCUGAGAGGACGACCGGGCAGACUGGGACUGCGACACGGCCCAGACUCCUACGGGAGGCAGCAGCAAGGAAUUUUCCCCAAUGGGCGCAAGCCUGAGGGAGCAACGCCGCGUGGAGGACGACGGCCUUCGGGUUGUAAACUCCUUUCGGGCGGGACGAGGAUGACGGUACCGCCAGAAGCAGCCCCGGCUAACUCUGUGCCAGCAGCCGCGGUAAGACAGAGGGGGCAAGCGUUGUCCGGAGUUACUGGGCGUAAAGGGCGCGGAGGCGGUUGCCUGCGUCGGCGCUGAAAGCGCCCCGCUUAACGGGGCGAAGCGCGCCGAUACGAGGGGACUGGAGGCAAGCAGAGGGCGGCGGAAUUCCGGGUGGAGCGGUGAAAUGCGUAGAGAUCCGGAGGAACGCCAGUGGGGAAGCCGGCCGCCUGGGCUUGACCUGACGCUGCGGCGCGACCGCGUGGGGAGCAAACCGGAUUAGAUACCCGGGUAGUCCACGCCGUAAACGAUGCCGGCUCGGCGUUUGGCGCGCGUGAGCGCGCUGGGCGCCUUAGCAUACGCGGUAAGCCGGCCGCCUGGGGACUACGAGCGCAAGCUUAAAACUCAAAGGAAUUGACGGGGGCCCGCACAAGCAGCGGAGCGUGUGGUUUAAUUCGAC